UUCUUCUUCUUCUUCUUCUCGUUUUCUCUGAUGAUUUUGUGAGAUGAUUGUGAGGUCGAAUCGAAGUGAAACUUAGGGUAAAAUUAGGAUUUGAUUACUGGUGGUGGUGUUGAUGUUAUUUGAUCUGGGGAGAAGGAGGGAUGAUGUUGAAUCAAUUAGGAUUCUGUUCUUGAGUUGGAAGAGAGAUUACGAGGAGUUUUGAGUUUCUGUUAGAUGAAGAAUCGAAUGGGUUGGUGUUUCAUUAAAGUUCUGAAGCUGUUCUUAUGAAGAAUCACAGAACCAGUUAGUCUAUAUUAACAACGAACAAUUCCAAGGAUGAACUAGUGGAUUUCAAGGUAGGCGUAGAUUGACAUCAAAUCAGGUGGAAACUCUGUAACCUUCUUGUAACCAUUGAGCAUUCUUUUAAUUCUUAUGAGCAUAUUUGUGUAUAAAUGAUUGGGUGUGUUGUGUAAUAUGCAUUGUGUGGAUUCUCCAAAUGUUAUAUCUAUUUUUAUGAUUAUUAUGGCCCAAAUGAGGCAAUAUCGUUAUAUAGGGGAAUAUUAAUUUUAUAAUUUCUUGUGAGAA